rnacentral:rRNA from 1 species
AGCGUGGAGACAGGUGGUGCAUGGCUGUCGUCAGCUCGUGUCGUGAGAUGUUGGGUUAAGUCCCGCAACGAGCGCAACCCUCACCCCUUGUUGCUGCCAGGUAAAGCUGGGCACUCUAGGGGAACUGCCCCGGUCAACGGGGAGGAAGGCGGGGAUGACGUCAAGUCAUCAUGCCCCUUACGUCCUGGGCUACACACGUGCUACAAUGGCCGGUACAAAGGGAUGCCACACCGCGAGGUAGAGCUAAACCCAAAAAGCCGGUCUAAGUUCAGAUUGGAGUCUGCAACUCGACUCCAUGAAGGAGGAAUCGCUAGUAAUCGCGUAUCAGCACGACGCGGUGAAUACGUUCCCGGGCCUUGUACACACCGCCCGUCACACCACGAAAGCCUGCUGUACUCGAAGUCGCUGAG